GCGUCUGUAGCUCAGCUGGAUAGAGCACACGCCUUCUAAGCGUGCGGUCACAGGUUCGAAUCCUGUCAGGCGUACCA
rnacentral:tRNA from 2 species